ensembl:lncRNA
UUGCGGCAGGCGAGCUCCCAGAAACCGGGCACGCCUCUCGCCCUGCCAGGCUGUCCUGGCACCGCCUCGAAACCAGCUCGUUGCGGCCGGAGUCGGGCACGGAGCAGCCCGGMGAGCCUCCCGGCCCUGGCCACGCGCGGGACCCCGCUGUCGCUUAGGAGAAGACAAACAGCCCAAACCACGCCGGAUCGGCAAGUGACCCCCCUCUUGCCAUUCCUCGUGUGCUGGUACCACCAGUCUUCGGCAGAAAGCUGCCAGUUCGUUUCGAGCAUCGCUGAUGCAGAGGGCUGGUUUAGAAAGGUGGUGAUACAAAAGGCACUAUCAAAAGUCUCUGAUGUUUCUUGCAGCUGGAAACUAAAAAAAAAAAAGAAGGUGGUACACAUCCAUAGUCCUGUUCUAGAGGGAGCAGGAGCAAGAGGAGCGAGACCAAGGAAGAUCAUAUCUGAUACCAGUUACGUGAUCAAACAGGGCUGUGGAUGUUAUCUGCCGCGUGUGUGCUGCACUGAAAGGCUCCUCGUUCAUCUUCUGCCUCCUUCUCCCCAACUCUGUUGCUUGUGUCCACACAAGUGUCUCCAGUGCUUUUUGUCUUCUCUUGGAAAAACAAGCUUUCCAUCCUCCCUUUCGUAAACCAAGAUGCCUAGAUCUAACCCUUGACUAAGUGCUGCCAGUCACAGCUUGGCAGCUUCUGUAGCAAGGCUGCAAGGAUGGAGAAUGAAGAAGACAUGAAAGUACGUGUGUGUGUGUGUGUGUGUGUGUGUGUGUUAGGUAUUGUAUGCUGAGAGCUCAGAUACCCUGGUCUGAGAUAACCAGAAAAAGAAAGAAAAAACCUCCCUCCCUCCUCCCAAGAUCAGCAGAAAAGACAAAGGUAGAUGUUUCACAGGUUGGUAUGACUCAUAGCACCAUGCCUGAAGACUCAGGGUGAAGUGGCCCAGGUGGCCUUUGGUCACAGCUGUUCGACCCCAUGUCUUGGACCUCUGUAAUAAGUAGUCAAGGACAGAUAGCAAAGAAGGCAGAGAAGAACCUAACUCAUUCCAUCCUUAAGCAAAACAUCUGCCUUGCCRCUGUCAGAGGUAAUCAAGUGUUUACUUCUGCACAUUAAGAAAAAUUUAAWGAAAAAGUCCUCAUGGGGAGGGCUGUCAGCUCCCCAAGGAGGUUAUUAGGCUGAACUUAGAGGGUUUAUGGGAAAAAGUGUUUUAGCAGUCCCCAGAGCAUCAUACUGGCCCUGGUGGUGUUCCAGUUAUUUUAUCUGACUGUCUUUACAGGUAUUCCGGGUAACUUACCUGCGCAGCCAGCCUCCAAAUUGCUCUUUUGAACACAAUUGCUGUUAUUUGUGAAAGCACCGCUCCCAAAAGCAAUAUUUCAUCAUUACUGUAAAACAUCAUCCCUGCAAUUAUCGGAGAGAGCAUCUGUGGGAAUCUUAUGGGAAACAUGGUGAYGCCUGAAGCGAGCCCCAGCCUGGUGCUCGGUGCCCGUGGUGCCUGGCAGGGCUGUGCCAGCGUCCCACCCCGCGCUGGGGGACCGAGACUUUGCCUCCGGACCGUGCUGUGGGCCRUCACUGGGUUGGCUUGAAUGAUGAGUCUGGCCAAUUAAAAACAGCACUUUUGGAAGAGAGUGCUGCUUUAUUUCC